UAUUGGUGACGUCAUUUAACCUAAUAUGCAUGACGAAAUAGCUCCCGUCUAAAAUCGAUAGGAAUCACUAAUCAGUGCUUCUGAUGAUCACGAAGAACACGGAUUUGAAUUUCUCUUCAUUGGGCUUUUGCCUGUUCUGCGUAAGCUUCAAUGAUGGGAGGUGGAAGAGCUAUCACUACGGCGGCGAAGGAGACCGGGAUCUGCGUCGCCGGAGGAGGUUCCACCGGCGGAGGGGGUUUCCCGGUGGUACCCCCGCCGACCGUGCAGUUGGCGGUCAGGAACGUCCUGGCGAGGCAUGUCUCGGCGGCGAUCGCUUCGGCAACACAUCCGACCGUCGAGACGACCUGGCGGUUGCGCAGAAGCCGGUGUGGGAUGCUUGGGAGUUCGCCGGCAUCGAGGUGGAGCUUUUCGGCGGCCGUGGUGGUAAGCCGACCGCUAGGGUUGUGCUCAGCGGUCCUGCUACUUUCCAGGAGGCGAAAGAUGCCAUCGGAGACUUGAAAGAAGCAAUCGAUAUGCGAGUCAAUGCGUAAUCGUUGGCAAUCUAAAACUAGCUCGGAAUUUAUCGGGUUCAGAGAAGAACAAAAAUUGUUGGUCUUGUUUGGUGUAGUAUCUACUACAUUCUAUCUGAUCGAGGAACCGAUCAGGAAUGGAUCUUUGGAUUUUUUCUUGCUGUUAGUUUCGAAAACACAUCAGCAAGAUGAGAUCGUUAAAAUAUGACCUCAAGCUGCUGAAUCUAAUAGCUAAGCUUGUGCUUGGAAUGGAGUAUGCUUUGGAACCAUUGAAC